UACGUAAGUGGCGAGCAUUAUCCGGAUUUAUUGGGCAUAAAGAGCAUGUAGGUGGUAAUUUAAGUCAGAUGUUAAAUCCCAUAGCUUAACUAUGGUCUGCAUUUGAAACUGAGUUACUAGAGGUUAGUAGAGGGAAGUGGAAUUCAUGGUGUAGCGGUGAAAUGCGUAGAUAUCAUGAGGAACACCAGUGGCGAAGGCGACUUCCUGGACUAAAUCUGACACUGAGAUGCGAAAGCGUGGGGAGCGAACG
rnacentral:rRNA from 1 species